rnacentral:rRNA from 1 species
GAGUUUGAUCCUGGCUCAGAUUGAACGCUGGCGGCAUGCCUUACACAUGCAAGUCGAACGGCAGCACGGGAGCUUGCUCCUGGUGGCGAGUGGCGAACGGGUGAGUAAUGCAUCGGAACGUAUCCUGGAGUGGGGGAUAACGUAGCGAAAGUUACGCUAAUACCGCAUAUUCUGUGAGCAGGAAAGCGGGGGACCUUCGGGCCUCGCGCUCUUGGAGCGGCCGAUGUCGGAUUAGCUAGUUGGUGAGGUAAAGGCUCACCAAGGCGACGAUCCGUAGCAGGUCUGAGAGGAUGAUCUGCCACACUGGAACUGAGACACGGUCCAGACUCCUACGGGAGGCAGCAGUGGGGAAUUUUGGACAAUGGGGGCAACCCUGAUCCAGCCAUGCUGCGUGAGUGAAGAAGGCCUCGGUU